GGCAUAAACAUUCAACUUAGAUGUUUAUGACGUUGAAUAUCAACGUCAUAAACAUUCAACUUACAUGUUUAUGACGUUGAUAUUCAACGUCAUCAACAUUCAAAUUAGAUGUUUAUAACGUUGAUAUUCAACGUCAUAAACAUUCAACUUACAUGUUUAUGACGUUGAUAUUCAACGUCGUAAACAUUCAAAUUAGAUGUUUAUGAC
rnacentral:miRNA from 1 species